CAUCCCUAUCCCUACUUUUUCUCCUCACCCUGAGUCCUACACUGAUCUAGGACUCCCAAAUUGGCCUUCCAAGGAAACCCUUGCUUCAGGGAUCCCCCCCCCAAGAAAUUCCCCUCCAGAGAGUUCAGCCCAGUCUAACGUGGAGGAGGGCUCCCAGCCCCCUCCCCUCUCACCCCAAAACACACCUGAUCCAAAACACUGUUCCUCUUCUCAAGUCACACUCUCUCAGCCCCCAUCCCAGCCGUUCCUUUGAAGCCUGAUGCCCCCCCCCCCCAAAUUGUAUCUGCCCCUGCCACUCAACUCCUGCCACAUUCUGAGUUUUCCUCAGAUGGGAAGAAUCACCCACCAUCCCCCCUCCUUCUCUUGCCCCCACCAGGCUCUCUCUCUCUCUCUCUCUCUCUGCGCUCAUUCCUCUCUUGGAGAGAGAGGAGAAGGAGGGGCUGCGGGGAGAUUGUGCAAAGAGGACACUUUUUUUCUCUUCCUGUUUUUGGAGGGGCAAAGGGGGGAGAAGAUUCAGUCCUGAAGCCUGCCACCAAGAUCUAUAGUUCUCCAAGGAUCGCUUCCUUCUUUCAAAUCAAAUCUUCUCCAACUUGAUAUUCUGCCUUGCCUACCCUCAAAUUGCACCCUUUUUUUUCUUUUCUCUCUCUCUCUCUCUUCCCCGGCCUGAGUGAAAAUCUCUCUCUCUCUCUCAAAUCUCAAAUCCAUUUCUCCUCUCCUUCCUCUCUUCUCACCUUUUAAAAUCCCUUAUUUCCCUUUGUUCCCAUUUUCUAGACACUAUCCCUAAGAUUUUACCUCAGUGUUGUCUUAUAUUUCCUUUGGUCCUUACAAAAGGGGGGAGGGGGGCCAUUCCUUUAGCCGCUUCUGUUUCUUAAUUUCCCCUUUUCUUUCUCUCCCAUCUGGGAAGCAUGGCAAAGGAUUUGGGUGGGGGAGGGGGACUCCCAGAAAAGUGUUGGUUAAAUUUUGUGUGUUUAUGUAAUGUGUGGGCUGUAAACUCUUCUCUACUCAUCCCUUUGCCUUAAAAGCCACCAGUGAUAUAUAGUUUUCUGGGAAGGAGGGCUGGAAUGGACUAGCUUAGUGCUAUGCUCUCUCUCUCUCUCCCUUUUCUUCUGUGCCAUCUCACCUCCCUAUUUUCAAAGGUUCAAGCCCUAAUAUUUUGUGACCCCCCCCCCAGAGAAAUCCUGCUGCUUCUGUGGUUUUAACUUUUUCUUGUCUCUCUCUUCUCAAACAUCCCUUAUCUUAGGGACAAAGGGGGGUGGAAGAAUGCAUGUAUUUUUCUAUAUGUGAGUUUUUUUCUCUCUCUCUCUCCCUUCCACUUCAUGUUUUCCUAGGCCAAAAUGCGCUUCAACAUUCUCCUUUUUCAAAGCUUUCUCUCCCCCCUUCCUUCCCCUGUGAAGGGAACUCCCAGCAUCCCCAUUUCUCCUUAUAAACAUACAGUCAAAAUCCUGGUUUACUUUUAUAGUAAAGGCACUCUUUCACUCUCCACAGUUCCCCAACAAUCUCCUUUCUUCCUUUCGGGUCCUUCUCCCUCCCUUUCCCUGAGUGCAUGCGUGUGAAUGUUUUAAAAAUCCCUCUAACUGCCUUUAAAUAUGAGGGGGGCAGUACAGAGUCCAGGGGACCUUCCAGGCACAGCUGAAGAGAUCCAGAGGACCGGACCCAACCACCUGACUGAGGACAUCAGACCAGACUGCAAGACCCAUAAUCCAUACCUGCCACCAUGAACAGUUCUAAGACCUGGGUAGGGGCUCUCGGAGUGCGCUGUGGAUUUCAUGCAGCAGCUAGAACCCAGAGGCCAUUGGAGAUGGUCCUGUGAGGGCUUUUAUGGCCAGACCACCGUAUGGUGCCCUCCAGCUGGCCUGGUUCUGCCCUGGCAAAGGGCUACUGAGUGCAGGUCUGCCUUUGACGCUGCCAAGGAUGCCCUCAUGACAUCACCAGGGGACAGAAUUGGCCGCCAUGGCAGAAGAUGUCCCAGAAGAAGUGAACAGGAUUCUACCAGUGACCACCAUGAGGGAAGGAUGUUCCGCCCUCACCAGAGCUGUGCCAAAGAAGGACCCCAGGACUGCUGGAGCCCUCACAAGGUAUGAGUGACUUCCCUGACUAACCCCACCACGGGAGGGAGGGGGGGCUUAUAAUCUGUCCUUAGUUUCCCUAGGCACUCUCUCCUUUCCGUCUCCUCUGUUGGAGUGCUGGACCUGCCUACAGUCACCAGGAGGCGCCGUGCUGUGAGGCGCAGAAGCUGUGCCCAGUUGCCCCCAGCUGCCAACUACAAAGGGGGGCCCAAGCUGCAGCCAAGAAAAGGCAGCCAAAUGGGAGUACUGCAUCACAGCCUCCAUCAUCCCCAGCCCUCACCACCUCCACCUUCAUGCUCCAUUUCCCAUGACUCCAGACCAAGGGACAUCUGUUUCAACACCAUGGGAUCACCCACCACUGACUGAACCUCAGCUUUCACCUCUUCAAGCUCCUGCCCUCCAACAAAAAGGCACAAUCUGAUCUACCAAGGCAGAGGCCCUGCAUGCAGUGAAAUGUCGGGGCUUUGGGAAAUGUUCAUAGCCAUUUCCAAGCCCCGAAGGGGGGAAAAUGUGAUCGAGGUGACCACCCCCCCCCCAGGACUUUGUAAAAGAUAGUUCAAAAAUCAAGACUUUAUGUUCUAUAUUCCAUAUAUUUAUAGUAGAAGGUGAUUGAGACUUUUUACUGGAGUUUACUGUGGAUUAUCCCUGCACUCUGAGGCAAGAGAUAACAACUCCAUGAAUUGUGAAAUCAUGCUGCUAAAACUCCACUUUUAUGAAUUUCCAUAUUUGGGUUCCCCAGAUGUUGUGAACUUCGUUCUUAUCAAAUGUUUUCAAUUGUUUAUAUCAUUCAUGAUUCCCCUUUAUGCAAUGUAACCCACCUUUAUGGAUUCUCCCUUAUUUCCUUGAAAUCUAUCUAUCUGCCUAUAUGUAUUUGUACUCUUUGGGAUCCCCGGAAAAUAUGUGUUUUUCCCAGCUGGGUUUAUGUUCCAACUUUAUUUUAUUUUUCAUUUUAUUUCAUAUAAUUGUCAAAUCAUGAAAUCAAAUGGGAAAUAUUUUGACCCCAACAUGAACCCCAGCUCCUAUGACCCAGGUUUACCUUCCCCAAAACAAAAGGAUAAUCUGCCACAGUUUAACCCAAUCUAAUUCAGAUUGCAUGGACAAUAUAAGGCUUGAGUCCUAAAGGUGAUUCGCCCCCAAGGCAAACAUUGUCAUAUCUCCUCCAAAGGGAAAACCAGGACGUCUCAGGAAGACGCCCUGCUGCGCCCAUUGCCACCCAUCCUUACUUCCCCCUGACACCUUAAGGCAUAUCUGAAAUCAGUGUACAUGACAGGGACCCCUGAUGACUGUCAUUAAUCCCUUUAGAAAUCGGCCGGGCAAGGACUAAUCUGAUAUUUCCUGCCCUGUCACUUCAUUGUUUCAAUAACUCCCGCCUUCUCCUUCCUGAUUGGCUCGAGUGGGGACAAAAAGCAGCUCCCUAUUGGGCCAACAGAGCAAGGCGGGAAACGAAAGCCCGCCUCGUUCAACCUUCUAGCCUAUCCGCGAUCAGAUAGGCGGGGGAGCGGGGCGGGAAAUUCAAAGGGCUGUCAGACCGAAACAUUGUAUAAAUAUGGCUUUAUUUGAAACAUAUGAUACGCUAGUAGACUGAAUGAUCGCUACUAGUGUCCUUUUCAGCUGAAUCGCUCAAUAAAGACUCCUUGGCGGAUUUUCCUUCAA